AUGCCGUCCCUCCCUCCCUCCGUCCUCCACCCGUCCAUCCGUCCUCCCUCCGUCCCUCCCUCCGUCCUCCGUCCUCCCUCCGUCCUCCACCCGUCCCUCCCUCCCUCCGUCCCUCUGUCCUCCGUCCUCCCUCCGUCCUCCACCCGUCCCUCCGUCCUCCCUCCGUCCCUCUGUCCUCCGUCCUCCCUCCGUCCAUCCGUCCUCCCUCCGUCCCUCCGUCCUCCACCCGUCCAUCCGUCCUCCCUCCCUCCCUCCCUCCGUCCCUCCCUCCCUCCGUCCUCCAUCCGUCCUCCAUCCGUCCCUCCGUCCUCCAGUCCAAGACUGUUGAGCAAAGACUUCGGUGCAGGUGAAGAAGAUCCAGAAGAAGUUUUCAAGUUAAAUCCAGUUGAUUUUUCCACACAGGGAAAUAUUAAGGAUCGGCAUCAGUUUAGUUCUGACACUAGGUGGCGCUCAUACAACAUGAGACUUGUAAGUCCAGAUUUAAUGACUUGCACUUUAAUCCAUUUAAAUCACAUUGGGUCCAGACCUGUGGCCCGGCCCCGGGACUGGACCUGUGGCCCGGCCCCGGGACUGGACCUGUGCCCCGGGACUGGACCUGUGGCCCGGCCUCGGGACUGGACCUGUGGCCCCCGGGACUGGACCUGUGGCCCCCGGGACUGGACCUGUGGCCCGGCCUCGGGACUGGACCUGUGGCCCCCGGGACUGGACCUGUGGCCCCCGGGACUGGACCCGUGGCCCGGCCUCGGGACUGGACCUGUGGCCCCCGGGACUGGACCUGUGGCCCGGCCCCGGGACUGGACCUGUGGCCCCUGGGGACUGGACCUGUGGCCCGGCCUCGGGACUGGACCUGUGGCCCCCGGGACUGGACCUGUGGCCCGGCCUCAGGACUGGACCUGUGGCCCGGCCUCGGGACUGGACCUGUGGCCCCCGGGGACUGGACCUGUGGCCCGGCCCCGGGACUGGACCUGUGGCCCGGCCUCGGGACUGGACCUGUGGCCCCCGGGACUGUACCUGUGGCCCGGCCUCAGGACUGGACCUGUGGCCCGGCCUUUAUGUGCAGAGGAAAUGACAGAGGCACGUCUGAGGGUUGCUAUGGCAACCCCAUCCUUAGACAGCCUGCUGAACCGUUGCCCCCUGACAGGUGCUACUAGUUCUGGUUCUGCUACUAGUUCUGGUUCUGCUACUAGUUCUGGUUCUGCUGUCAUUCAUGUGCACGUGAUAAUAAAGGUCUGUGAACCAGCCUCCUUUCUCUUCAUCACGUCUGGAAUCGCUGCCUCCCGGAGCGUCCUCGCCCCCCUUAGAGGUGACAUCAUCACCUCUGGAUGGGGGGGGGGGGGGGGAUUGUAA
rnacentral:lncRNA from 1 species